rnacentral:rRNA from 1 species
AUUGAACGCUGGCGGCAUGCUUUACACAUGCAAGUCGAACGGUAACAGGUUAAGCUGACGAGUGGCGAACGGGUGAGUAAUGCAUCGGAACGUGCCCGGUCGUGGGGGAUAACGCAGCGAAAGUUGCGCUAUUACCCCAUCCGACCGGAGAAGAAAAGCGGGGGCCGGUAGGGCCUGGCGCAUUCGGGGCGGCGGAGGCCGGAUUGGGUAGUUGGUGGGGUAAAGGCUCACCGAGCCAACAAUCUGUAGCUGGUCUGAGAGGACGACCAGCCACACUGGGACUGAGACGCGGCCCAGACUCCUACGGGAGGCAGCAGUGGGGAAUUUUGGACAAUGGGCGAAAGCCUGAUCCAGCAAUGCCGCGUGCAGGAAGAAGGCCUUCGGGUUGUAAACUGCUUUUGUACGGAGCGAAAAGGUCUCCUCUAAUACAGGGGGCUCAUGACGGUACCGUAAGAAUAAGCACCGGCUAACUACGUGCCAGCAGCCGCAGUAA